rnacentral:rRNA from 1 species
GAAGGACGUGAUAAGCUGCGAAAAUCCACGGGGAGCUGCACAUGAGCGUUGAUCCGUGGGUGUCCGAAUGGGGCAACCCACUUGGUUGAAGGCCAAGUACCCAGCAAUGGGGGCGAACCCGCUGAACUGAAACAUCUAAGUAGGCGGAGGAAGAGAAAACAAGAGUGAUUCCGGUAGUAGCGGCGAGCGAAACCGGAGAAGCCCAAACCAGAGUUGUUCCGGCAAUUCUGGGGUUGUAGGACCACGAUGUUCUUUGCGCGACGAACCGGAAGCAGUUGGAAAGCUGCACGACAUGGGUGACAGUCCCGUACGGGCAAGGAGCGUUAAAGAUAGUGGUAUCCUGAGUAGCGCGGGGCACGUGAAACCCUGUGUGAAUCUGGCGGGACCAUCCGCCAAGGCUAAAUACUCCUGAGAGACCGAUA